rnacentral:rRNA from 1 species
AUGUUCCUCGGGCUCAAUUAUCUAAUCUUCCAACCAAUCAUCGAUCAUAUCACCGGCGAUGAUUACCGUGCUAUGCAACUUCCAUUCGCCAGGGGGGACUAUGUUUACACAUCAUACCAUGGGUUUCAUGAAUCACCAUAUCCAGAGAUUCGUCGACACAGCUUGUUGUCAGAUAAUCUUCAGUGUGCGAAAGGCAUCAAGCUUCCAUGCGAUGGCUGGCUUUUGCAAACCCAACAUGCGGCGAUGUGGUUCAUGCCAACAGCAAAUAUGCACAACUUGAUUCCUGGCGUCAAGUUCGAUCCCACAUAUCAGGAGCUGAUCGAGCACCUUCAGGCCAAAGUGAGUGCUGACAGCGCGAGAUCUCACCCUCUCAUCGAUUUGUUCAUACCAACCAUCGACAGCGAGCACGGCAUAUGCUACACUCAUCCUGAGAAACUUCCAGACAUGUCGGAGUGCGGCAUGCACGCGAUGUGGCACAACACCGGCAAUACCUUGCCGGUGAUGGUCAACGGCCGGCAGAUGGGCAGCAUAAAGGUUCUGGUGCUGCACACCAAUAAGAACUUCGACCAACAGAGGACCAACUGGGUGAUGCACCAGUACCACCUCGGGGACCUGGAGCAAGAGAAGAAGCGGGAGCUAGUCCUCUGCAAGAUUUUCUACCAGACGAACACUAGGGCCAGGAGUAAAAAGAUUAUAAGUUAG